AAGGACURACAGGAUUCCCCUAGUAACUGCGAGUGAAGCGGGAAAAGCUCAAAUUUAAAAUCUGGCGGUCUUUGGCCGUCCGAGUUGUAGUCUGGAGAAGUGCUUUCCGCGCUGGACCGUGUAUAAGUCUUCUUGGAACCAGAGCGUCAUAGAGGGUGAGAAUCCCGUCUUUGACACGGACUACCAGUGCUUUGUGAUGCGCUCUCAAAGAGUCGAGUUGUUUGGGAAUGCAGCUCAAAAUGGGUGGUGAAUUCCAUCUAAAGCUAAAUAUUGGCGAGAGACCGAUAGCGAACAAGUACCGUGAGGGAAAGAUGAAAAGCACUUUGGAAAGAGAGUUAAACAGUACGUGAAAUUGCUGAAAGGGAAACGCUUGAAGUCAGUCGCGUCGGCCGGAACUCAGCCUUGCUUUUGCUUGGUGCACUUUCCGGUUGACGGGCCAGCAUCGAUUUUGACCGUCGGAAAAGGGCUAGAGUAAUGUGGCACCUCCGGGUGUGUUAUAGACUCUAGUCGCAUACGGCGGUUGGGAUCGAGGAACGCAGCGCGCCGCAAGGCAGGGGUUCGCCCACUUUCGCGCUUAGGAUGCUGGCAUAAUGGCUUUAAACGACCCGUCUUGAAACACGGACCAAGGAGUCUAACAUACCUGCGAGUGUUUGGGUGGAAAACCCGAGCGCGUAAUGAAAGUGAAAGUUGGGACCUCUGUCGUGGAGGGCACCGACGCCCGGACCUGACGUUCUCUGACGGAUCCGCGGUAGAGCAUGGUAUUGUUUGGGGACCCGAAAGAUGGUGAACUAUGCCUGAAUAGGGUGAAGCCAGAGGAAACUCUGGUGGAGGCUCGUAGCGAUUCUGACGUGCAAAUCGAUCGUCAAAUUUGGGUAUAGGGGCGAAAGACUAAUCGAACMUU
rnacentral:rRNA from 1 species